UGAAGGCCUUCGGGUUGUAAACCACUGUCMGAGGGGAAGAAAUGCAUGUGGGUUCUCCCAUGUGUUUGACUGAUCCUCAGAGGAAGUACGGGCUAAGUUCGUGCCRGCAGCCGCGGUAACACGAACCGUACGAACGUUAUUCGGAAUCACUGGGCUUAAAGAGUGCGUAGGCGGCUUGGAAAGUUGGGUGUGAAAUCCCUCGGCUCAACCGAGGAACUGCGCCCAAAACUGUCAGGCUUGAGGGAGAUAGAGGUGAGCGGAACUAAUGGUGGAGCGGUGAAAUGCGUUGAUAUCAUUAGGAACACCGGUGGCGAAAGCGGCUCACUGGGUCUCUUCUGACGCUGAGGCACGAAAGCUAGGGGAGCGAACGGGAUUAGAUACCCCGGUAGUCCUGGCUGUAAACGAUGAGCACUUGGUGUAGCGGGUAUCGACCCCUGCUGUGCCGAAGCUAACGCAUUAAGUGCUCCGCCUGGGGAGUACGGKCGCAAGGCUGAAACUCAAARGAAUUGACGGGGGCCCGCACAAKCGGUGGAGCAUGUGGUUUAAUUCGACGCAACGCGAAGAACCUUACCUGGGUUUGAACCGCCGAGGACCGCUGCAGAGAUGUAGCUUCCCUUCGGGGCUUCGGUAGAGGUGCUGCAUGGCUGUCGUCAGCUCGUGUCGYGAGAUGUUGGGUUAAGUCCCGCAACGAGCGCAACYCUUGCCCUCUGUUGCCACCAG
rnacentral:rRNA from 1 species